AACCAUAGAAACCUGCGGAGUACCUGCGGAGGGAUCAUUACGGAGUUGCAAAACUCCCUAAACCAUUGUGAACGUUACCUAAACCGUUGCUUCGGCGGGCGGCCCGGGUCCUUCCCGGCGCCCAUCGGCCCUCGCGGGCGCCCGCCGGAGGUAAACCAAACUAUUGCAUUGUAUGGCCUCUCUGAGUCUUCUGUACUGAAUAAGUCAAAACUUUCAACAACGGAUCUCAGAUCGGAAGAG
rnacentral:misc_RNA from 1 species